CUGUGUACUGAGCCUCUCGGGGGGCAUCUCCCCAACCGGGCUCCCCCUCUGCGCCGCAGGUGCCAGGUGAUCACACCGAGGUGGAUCUCCAACUCCGCUUGCCCAGGAGUCUUUCCCUGGGAGUUGGGAAUUUGAGAAAGAAGAAAGAAGCAGAGAAGCUGAGAGAAGUGGAGAGCUGCGUGGUUCCCGAGGAGGGCGCCAGAGCCACUUUCUAGGCCCGGGCCCUGCUGGCUCCUGCCUUAGCUUUGUGACAGUCCCCAGACUCUGGGCCUGUGGUGCCCUAUUGCUGUCAGAGUAGAGCAGCUCCCCAUUAGUGUUGAAUCAGGCUCCCCAAUGUUAGAAGGAAUCAGAGAUCAUCCGAGCCAGUCUCUUCCACUUACUGAGGGGACUCUCAGGCCCAGAGGGGUGCAGCGAGGGCGCCCCCCCUUGAACAUACAGUCAGUGUGUAACCAAGCCAGGAGCAGACCCCAGCUGUCCGACCUCGGCCCAGUUCCCCUUGCUCCCUUUGCCCUGUGGCUCUCUGGGACCCCCUCCACUCCCAAGGGUGACAGGAUGAGGAAGGAGGAGCACAGCUCUCGGGGUCCACUGGACCUGGGUAGGAAUCAGUGGUGUGGCCGCAGGUCAGUCACUUCCCUCCUCUCUGAGACUCUGGGAUGGAGCAAUGAAAAUGCUAAUUAAUAGGGGGUAUGGUGGGAGGGAAAUGAGAGUAUAUGUAAAGGAGUUAAUUUUUUUUAAGAUUUUAUUUAUUCAUGAGAGACACACACAGAGUGAGGCAGAGACACAGGCAGAGGCAGAAGCAGGCUCCAUGCAGGGAGCCCGAUGUGGGACUCGAUCCUGGGACUCCAGGAUCACGCCCUGGGCUGAAGGCAGAUUCUGAACCACUGAGCCACCCAGGUGCCCCUGAGGAGGGAGUUACUUUUUAAAAUGAAAACUCAUGAUGAUGACGACAGUGAGGUCAGAAUUGCUUCUCCUCAGUUAAAAGGUGUUCGGUUCUGUACGGACUCCAGGGGCAGCCAGACCUGCAACGAGAGGAAUGUGGAUCUCCGUUCAUUUAACAAACAAAUGACCUAUAGCUGUCUUGAGCGGAGACAGGAUGUGUAUAUUAGGAAAUCAAACAGCAGGAAAAUAUAAGACCAGUAUGGGAUGGGGACAGGCUCUUCCAGAGCACAGAACAGGCCACCCCAUUGUAACACAGCCUCUCAGCCCUGUAACCUCAGUAUCUGGUUCCCACAGAGUGAGGUCGAUGGGCUCACCCAAUCCACCCACAGAUUACAGGUGCCACAGCCCCAGGCCCUGAUCUGACAGAGACACAUGUGGCUGAGUCACAAUGAGGUAAUGAGGUGGUCAGGCUGGCCUGGGAGGAGGCUGUGUCAUCCAUUCCCAUCCCCCCAUGGAGCCUGGCACAAUCCUGAUUCCCGCAUCCCUUUUCCUAGGUCAUUCUCCUGGGCCGGAGGCCACAGCUGGUCCUGAAGGUGGACAAGGCCGUGGACAAGGCUGGCCUCAGGCCUCGACCACCAUGGAUGGGAGCCCAGACCAAUCUCUCUCAGGCUCAACAGGUGACUCUUUGCUACUUCUAUGUUAAAACAAACACAACAAAGCAAGUUCCGUCUUCAGAAUGGAGAUGGAAGAAUGACUGGAAGCCGGACCCUGAUCCCAGCAGUAGAAGACGGAAGGCGGGAAGUGUGCCCUUGCAGGAAGAGGGGGCUGGCCCAAGAAGGACUCUCUAGAAAGGAGGAGCCACCUUCAGCUAGACAUUCACUCAACAGUAGGCCUGAAAUAAAACCAGAAAUCCUCACUCCUAGCCUUGCCCCGGCACAUUGAAAACAGGAAUAUGCAUAAAAAGCCGUCUGCAGGAGUCGACUAUUGGAAAUGCACCAGCAGAGGGCGCGAGAGCCCCACCAGUCCCUGCCCACUGACCUCUCCAGGAGGAGCUGCAAGGAAAGCCAGAGAACCCACGUAAGGAAUCAAUUCCAAAAGGCCUCCUCAAAAUCCAGUGUUUGAAACUCAUAAGAAGUGACAUCCAUCCAUCCCUUUAUUUAUUUACCCAGCACUUUGUUGAGCACCUGCAGUGACCCAGGCAUGGGGCUAGACCACGCAUUUUCCCAGAAAGUGGUGCUGUAACAAUAGUUAGAUUUGAGACUAGCCCUCAGAAGCCUUUUAAGUCUUUAGAGAAAAUAGAAUUAGUGAGACUAUUUUCUGUUCUAGAGUAGAGAAAAGGAAUGGAGGAAGGACACUAUGGAAGAGAAGAAUUGGAGAGAUGAGCAGGAAUAAGAGGACCUUGGGGAAGAAGUAAAGUUGGGUUUCAACCCCUGCUCAGUGAUAAAAUAUUAAACCUUAAAAAGUU